UGCUGCCGUCCCGUCUUGGGGUACAGGCUGCGAGGCUCCUGGCUGCACAUGACGUCCCGGUGUUUGGCUGGCGCAGCAGGUCCUCCGGGCCACCGGCCACCUUCCCAAGCAGCAAAGGUGGAGGCGGCUCCAGUUACAUGGAGGAGAUGUACUUCGCCUGGUUGGAAAACCCCCAGAGUGUCCACAAGUCCUGGGACAGCUUCUUCAGGGAAGCCAGCGAGGAAGCCUUUUCUGGCUCUGCUCAGCCACGGCCCCCUUCUGUUGUCCAUGAGAGCAGGUCUGCAGUCUCAAGUCGGACCAAGACCAGCAAAUUGGUGGAGGACCACCUGGCUGUGCAGUCCCUGAUCCGGGCCUACCAGGUGAGGGGCAGCUGAGGCACAGCCUGGGAGGCUGCACUGGCUCCUGGGGUGUGGCCAGGCACUGAAGGGAAGGGGUCUCAGCUCCAACAUCAUCUCCCCAGAGAGCCCUUCUCCUUGUCCUCUACUGAGCGGCACCUACUCCUCUAGCCAGUCUUUGCCACAUCACCAUUCAGAGCACUUACCACC
rnacentral:lncRNA from 10 species